rnacentral:rRNA from 1 species
GACGAACCGUACGAACGUUAUUCGGAAUCACUGGGCUUAAAGGGUGCGUAGGCUGCGCAGCAAGUUGGGUGUGAAAUCCCUCGGCUUAACCGAGGAACUGCGCCCAAAACUGCUGUGCUCGAGGGAGACAGAGGUGAGCGGAACUUAGGGUGGAGCGGUGAAAUGCGUUGAUAUCCUAAGGAACACCGGUGGCGAAAGCGGCUCACUGGGUCUCUUCUGACGCUGAGGCACGAAAGCUAGGGUAGCGAACGGG